rnacentral:rRNA from 1 species
UACAUAGGGUGCAAGCGUUGUCCGGAAUUACUGGGCGUAAAGAGCGUGUAGGCGGCAAUUUAAGUCGUAACUUUAAAUACUGGGGCUUAACUCCAGUUUGGGUUCGAUACUGAUUUGCUAGAGAUUGGGAGAGGAAAGCGGAACUCACAGUGUAGCGGUGAAAUGCGUAGAUAUUGUGAGGAACACCCGUGGCGAAGGCGGCUUUCUGGACCAUUUCUGACGCUGAGACGCGAAAGCAUGGGGAU